GCGAGUGUGGUGGAAUCGGCAUACACAGCAGACUUAAAAUCUGCCGCGCAAGCAUGCGGGUUCAAAUCCCGCCACUCGCACCA
rnacentral:tRNA from 1 species